rnacentral:rRNA from 1 species
GCUUGUCUCAAAGAUUAAGCCAUGCAUGUCUAAGUAUAAACGAUUUUAUACGUGAAACUGCGAAUGGCUCAUUAUAUCAGUUAUAGUUUAUUUGAUGGUCCUUACUACUUGGAUAACCGUAGUAAUUCUAGAGCUAAUACAUGCAUCAAGCCCUGACUUCGGAAGGGGUGUAUUUAUUAGAUGGAAACCAAUGCGGGGCAACCCGGAAAAUGGUGAUUCAUAAUAACUUUCGGAUCGAUCUUCGGAUCGAUGCAUCAUUCAAGUUUCUGCCCUAUCAGCUUUGGAUGGUAGGGUAUUGGCCUACCAUGGCUUUAAC